rnacentral:lncRNA from 1 species
AAACCUAUUGAUAAAAAAAUCUUAAAAAAUACUCAUCUAUCAACAAAAAUUCUUGUUAUCCUAAUUUCUAAAUCAGAACCCCAAAAACUACAAUAGUUCUCAAUAAAAAUAAAAACUUUCCUUAAAUAGAAUUUUUGAGAAUUUUAUCUAAAAUAUACAACCUAUUGAUAAAAAAAUCUUAAAGAAUACACAUCUAUCAACAAAAAUUCUUGUUAUCUUAAUUUCUAAAUCAGAACCUCAAAACUACAAUAGUUCUCAAUAAAAAUAAAAACUUUCCUUAAAUAGAAAUUUUGAGAAUUUUAUCUAAAAUAUACAGCCUAUUGAUAAAAAAAAUCUUAAAAAAUAUUCAUCAAUCAACAAAAAUUAUUGUUAUCCUAAUUUUACAUCACAACCCCAAAUCUACAAAAUUUCUAUAAAAACUAAAACUUUCCUAAAAUAGAAUUUUUGAGAAUUACUUUUAAAAAAUAUAACUAUUGAUAAAAAAAAUCUAAAAGAAUACUCAUCAAUAAACAAAAAAAUUCUUGUUAUCCUAAUUUCUAAACCAAAAUCCCAAAUCCACACUAUUAUUCAAAAAAAUGAAAACUUUCCAAAAUAGAAUUUUUGAGAAUUUUAUCUAAACUAUACAACCUAUUGAUCAAAACUUUUAAAAGAAUACACAUCAACCUAUUGAUCAAAACUGAAGUUAUGUUAUUAAAGUUUUAGAGACUUUAAAAGUAAUGUACAAUAGUUCUCAAUAAAAAUAAAAACUUUCCUUAAAUAGAACUUUUGAGAAUUUUAUCUAAAAUAUAAAACAUAUUGAUAAAAAAAUCUUAAAAAAUGCUCAUCUAUCAACAAAAAUUCUUGUUAUCCUAAUAUCUAAAUCACAACCCCAAAUCUACAAUAUUUCUAUAAAAAUGAAAACUAUCCUAAAAUAGAAUUUUUGAGAAUUAUUUUUUAAAAUUACAACUAUUGAACAAAAAAUCUGAAAUAAUACACAUCUAUCAACAAAAACUCUUGUUAUCAAAAUUUCUAAAUCAGAACCCCAAAACUACAACAAUUCUCAAUAAAAAUAAAAACUUUCCUUAAAUAGAAUUUUAGACAAUUUAUCUAAAAUAUACAACAUAUUGAUAAAAAAAUCUUAAAGAAUACACAUCUAUCAACAAAAAUUCUUGUUAUCCUAAUUUCUAAAUCAGAACCUCAAAAAUACAAUAGUUCUCAAUAAAAAUAAAAACUUUCCUUAAAUAGAAUUUUUGAGAAUUUUAUCUAAAAUAAAAAACCUAUCGAUAAAAAAAUCUUAAAAAAUACUCAUCUAUCAACAAAAAUUCUUGUAACCCUAAUUUAUAAAUCAC